rnacentral:rRNA from 1 species
GAUGAACGCUGGCGGCGUGCUUAAUACAUGCAAGUCGAACGGAGGACUAGCAAUAGUUCUUAGUGGCGAACGGGUGAGUAACGCGUUGGUGACCUGCCCCGAAGACAGGGAUAACAGCUCGAAAGGGCUGCUAAUACCCGAUGAUGUCUUACAGGUUAGAGGCUGUAAGAAGAAAGGCGAAAGCCGCUUUGGGAGGGGCCUGCGUCCCAUCAGCUAGUUGGUAAGGUAAAGCUUACCAAGGCGAAGACGGGUAGGGGGCCUGAGAGGGUGACCCCCCA